rnacentral:rRNA from 1 species
GCGCACGCUGGCGGCAGGCCUAACACCUGCAAGUCGAACGCACCUUUCGGGGUUAGUGGCGGACGGGUGAGUAACACGUGGGAACGUGCCUUUAGGUUCGGAAUAACUCAGGGAAACUUGUGCUAAUACCGAAUGUGCCCUUCGGGGGAAAGAUUUAUCGCCUUUAGAGCGGCCCGCGUCUGAUUAGCUAGUUGGUUGAGGUAAUGGCUCACCAAGGCGACGAUCAGUAGCUGGUCUGAGAGGAUGAUCAGCCACAUUGGGACUGAGACACGGCCCAAACUCCUACGGGAGGCAGCAGUGGGGAAUCUUGCGCAAUGGGCGAAAGCCUGACGCAGCCAUGCCGCGUGAAUGAUGAAGGUCUUAGGAUUGUAAAAUUCUUUCACCGGGGACGAUAAUGACGGUACCCGGAGAAGAAGCCCCGGCUAACUUCGUG